GCGAUAGCUGCGAGCGACAGGGAACAGCCCAGCACUGAAUCCCAAAGGCCUCGCCUUUAGGGAGAUGUGGUGUUUUGGAGAGCCCGAUCAACCCGAAGCCCGCGCACCGCGUUCAAGUCCAUCUUGAACGGGGCCACGGUCCGUAGAGGGUGCCAGGCCCGUUGAUAGACCGGUGCCGGCUCCGGGUGGGUUCCUCCUUAGAGUCGGGCUGCUUGAGAGUGCAGCCCUAAGCCGGUGGUAAACUCCAUCUAAGGCUAAAUACAACCACGAGACCGAUAGAGAACAAGUACCGUGAGGGAAAGUUGAAAAGAACUUUGAAGAGAGAGUUCAAGAGUACGUGAAACCGCUCAGGGGUAAACGGACAAGACCAGAAACACCGAAAGGGGAGAUUCAAGUCUUGUCGCCGGGUGCCGCCCUCCGCUUACGGUGGGACGGUCCGACGCCUCGUACGGCCCAGCCGUCGCGACGGCCCGGGCCGCCCUCCGCGAGGCUCCGGCACCCGCGGUGGACCGCACUUCUCCCUCAGUAGGACGUCGCGACCCGCUAGGCGACGGUCAAACGGCCGGAAGAUCGCCUGCUUCGGGCCCCGCUCCCUCACCGGAGCGGUGGUGCCGUCCAGCUCUCCGGAUCCGCGGCCGUCGUUCCCGGCGGUAGUACACAACGGCUGUGGCGCUGGGCCGCUCCUUGCGAGCGCCGGAACCCUCCGCGAGCUCGGGCGUGGUAUCGCCGGUCCGAGCCCUCACGGGCAGGGCCUUACGGCUUUCCCGUCCUUGUUUGCGGAUCGAGUGCUCCGGCGAUGGUCCAGUUCGCCCGUCGGCGGCGCUCCAGAUUCUGGAACUUGUCCGACCCGUCUUGAAACACGGACCAAGGAGUCUAGCGUGUGCGCGAGUCAUUGGGUGCAAAACCUAAAGGCGAAAUGAACGUGUCUGUGGCCGCUCAGCGGUCACGGCGGGAAGAUGGGCCCUCGUCCCUAGCGGCGGGGCUCCGCAUUCCCGGGGCGUCUCAAUCUCUUACCCAGAGUCGAGACGCACCAGGAGCGCACACGCUGGUACCCGAAAGAUGGUGAACUAUGCCUGUCCAGGACGAAUCCAGGGGAAACCCUGGUGGAGGUCCGAAGCGAUUCUGACGUGCAAAUCGAUCGUAUGAGCUGGGUAUAGGGGCGAAAGACCAAUCGAACCAUCUAGUAGCUGGUUCCCUCUGAAGUUUCCCUCAGGAUAGCUGGCUCUCGUAACAGUGGACGAGUCUCAUCCGGUAGAGCGAAUGAUUAGAGGUGAUGGGGUCGAAACGACUUCAACCUAUUCUCAAACUCCCAAUAGAUGAGAGCCCCGGCUUGCUUGAAAGUGAAGCCGUGGGACUCGGAUCAGAGAGGCCAAGUGGGCCAAUUUUGGUAAGCAGAACUGGCGCUGUGGGAUGAACCAAACGCAGAGUUAAGGCGCCUGAAUCGACGCUCACGUGAAACCAUGAAAGGCGUUGGUUGCUUAAGACAGCAGGACGGUGGCCAUGGAAGUCGGAAUCCGCUAAGGAGUGUGUAAUAACUCACCUGCCGAAGCAACUAGCCCUGAAAAUGGAUGGCGCUGUAGCGUCGUGCCUAUACUCUGCCGUCAACGGCAGAGCGGGUCGCCCCCGCAAGGGGGAGGCGCCGUUAAGCCUUGACGAGUAAGAGGGUCGCGGCGGUGAGCGCGGAAGGGUCUGGGCGCGAGCCCGCCUGGAGCCGCCGCCGGUGCAGAUCUUGGUGGUAGUAGCAAAUACUCCAGCGAGGCCCUGGAGGACUGAUGUGGAGAAGGGUUUCUUGUGAACAGCCGUUGCACAAGAGUCAGUCGAUCCUAAGCCCUAGGAGAAAUCCGAAGCGAUGGUAUGCCGUUACUAAGACUAUACCCUCGCGCAUCUAACCCGUCAGAGAUUGCUUUGACGGCUCUGGAGAGCCGCGAAUGCGUAUACCUUGUGCUGGCACCGUCUGGGCGAAAGGGAAUCCGGUUCCUAUUCCGGAACCCGGCAGCGGAACCGCUCCCAUUCGGGCCCUCAUCCGAGGACUCGUCGGGGUGACCCAAAAUGACCCGGAGAAGCCGUAGGGAGAUCCGGGGAGAGUUGUCUCUUCUCUGUAAGCGUUCGAGUUCCCUGGAAUCCUCUAGGAGGGAGAUAGGGUUUGGAACGCGAAGAGCACCGCACUUACGGCGGUGUCCGGAUCUUCCCCUCGGACCUUGAAAAUCCGGGCGAGGGCCACGGGGAACACCGCGCCGGCUCGUACCCAUAUCCGCAGCAGGUCUCCAAGGUGAAUAGCCUCUAGUCAAUAGAAUAAUGUAGGUAAGGGAAGUCGGCAAACCCGAUCCGUAACUUCGGGAUAAGGAUUGGCUCUGAGGGUCGUGGCGUGCCGGGCUUGGUCGGGAAGUGGAGCCGCGCCAACGUGCCGGGCCUGGGCGAGGUGAAAGGCGUUAUUCGCCCGGACCCUAGCUCGGUCCCGUGCCUUGGCCACCCACGGAUCUUCCUUGCUGCGAGCCUCCGG
rnacentral:rRNA from 1 species